rnacentral:rRNA from 1 species
AUUGAACGCUGGCGGCAUGCCUUACACAUGCAAGUCGAACGGUAGCGCGGGGCAACCUGGCGACGAGUGGCGAACGGGUGAGUAAUGCAUCGGAACGUGCCCAGUAGUGGGGGAUAGCCCGGCGAAAGCCGGAUUAAUACCGCAUACGACCUAAGGGUGAAAGCGGGGGAUCGCAAGACCUCGCGCUAUUGGAGCGGCCGAUGUCAGAUUAGGUAGCUGGUGGGGUAAAGGCCUACCAAGCCUACGAUCUGUAGCUGGUCUGAGAGGGCGACCCGCCACACUGGGACUGAGACACGGCCCAGACUCCUACGGGAGGCAGCAGUGGGGAAUUUUGGACAAUGGGCGCAAGCCUGAUCCAGCCAUGCCGCGUGCGGGAAGAAGGCCUUCGGGUUGUAAACCGCUUUUGUCAGGGAAGAAACGCCCCGGGCUAAUACCCUGGGGCAAUGACGGUACCUGAAGAAUAAGCACCGGCUAACUACGUGCCAGCAGCCGCCGUAAUAC